rnacentral:lncRNA from 1 species
UAAGUGAUAUAUUGCAGUCCCAAUGAGAGUCCCUAAGUCAGAUUAAAAAGAGAAAGAAAGAAGACUAAGAAAUGAAAAAUUUUCUUUAUCAAAGAUUUAUGGACUCUUCCACUUUUAUCUGAAGCAACCUCUCCUCAAUUGCCUUAAUGAAUGUAUUUUCUUGUAACUAAUCAGAACACAGCCAUUCUCGAAGUACAUUUAUUUAGAAGACAGGAAGGUACACUUCUCAAUUUAUGUCAUUUAUCUUCUUUUUGUGGAGUGACUUGCUUUACACAUGAUCUGACCUUUUCAAACUCCAGAAAGAAGGGCCAGGAACCCCCCCCCCAAAACCACAUAAUAAUU